rnacentral:lncRNA from 1 species
GCCUCUUCCUCCUGGGUGCGCCAGGCCCAAGGACAGAGGAUGAUGCCCACGCAGCCAGGAAAGAGCGGCAUCAUUGUCAGCCCCUACCCCACCCUCGUCUUGGGAGCCUGCAGGCUCCGUGGUGCCACGGGAGCCCCACCGCACCUCACGUAUCCGCGCGAGUCUCUAGCACAGCCCCGCUCUUGGGCGUUAGAACCCCGCGAGGGGGGAUGAAGGACGCCACCGAGGAAGCAGACCCCACCGGGCUCCCGAGGCUGCCAGGCCCCCCGCUCAGGGCGCUGCCUGCAGAACCACGCCCCCCUGUCCCUGUGCUAAGAGGGUGACGCGAGUGCCCGAAGCCCUGGCCUGGUUACCAUUCGCGACUCCCUCGUCCUGGGUUCUCCCAUUGCCAGGAAUGUUUUACUAGUAACCAUGGUAUAGUUGAGACGAUCCACUCUUGUCCUACGCAUUUCGGCACAAUACAGGCGUCUAGGAGGCUUACCUGGCAUUGCCUGAGAGAAUCUUCCAUCCAUUUAAGUACCCAGUAACAGAGGGAGCAAAGCAAAUCUUAUCCUCAAAGAACUGCAGCUGCUUGUUAGAUCUACCUGGUGGUUCCAUAGAGAAACUGCUCAGAGAACCUGCCUUUACCUCGCCUAAAACAGAACUAUCCCGGAGCUCAGCAAAGGAGUCCAUUCAUCCUCUAUAACUGCUAUACAAUAUCUCUGUUAAAAUGCUGAGAAGAUUUAUCCUAAAAGAAGGCACCAAAGCAAUGGGGUUCAUCAACUCAGGAUCCAGUAGUGUAAUACAGAAGCCUGUUACGAGAUAUAAGGCACUUUGCCCUCGGAAAUCUCACUGUCGGAAUCCUUGGAAAUCACACCACGCACAACUUCUAUUUCUUCAUAAUUUGCAAAGAACCAGUGUGACUCCAGUCAAGAACAAAAGAUUAAUUGUGAAUUAGCGAAGAACUCUAAUUUUUUCAAGCAGCCACAUGGAAAACGCAUUCUAAUGAAAUCCUUUCCAUUGCUCUUUUUUCUUAGUUCUUCAAUAAAGCAUGCGAUUUGAUCACAAAUUGACUCUUCCCUUUUUAA